rnacentral:ribozyme from 1 species
UGAAAGUAAAGAACAAAGAAGAGGGGAAAACAUCCUAUUUCGUCGUUUUUUGUUUGUUUUUUAUUAUUAUUUCUUUUUGUUUCCU